CUAGCUACCAUGCUCCCUCGUGGUUCCCAGAAUUCCCAGCAUCUACACAUCAUAGAGUAAUCCCUACUCUAUGAUGUGUAGAUGCUGGGAAUUCUGGGAACCGCGAGGGAGCAUGGUAUCUACUAG
rnacentral:miRNA from 1 species